CCCCCCCCCCAUCUGUGGGUUACUCCAGCCAUGUUCUCCUUGCACCUCCUCAUGCGAUUUCCCCUCUGAUACCUGAAGGCAGACGUUGGCUGCAGUUUGUAAUGCAGCAGCAGCCCCAUGGGACACACCAGUCGUUCCUCUGAGGAGCUGAUCUCUCUGAUAGGGACAGCAUUACUUUUCGUUUUGGCUCUGCUGUGCUUCCUGAGCAUCAAGCACAGGAGUGCAGCAGCAGGGUUUGGCAUGCUCUGUCCUCCCUUUGCUUGAGAUCUUUCUAGUCAACUUUUUAUUAAACAAAUUAAAUGUGAUGGGAAUAAACCACAAUUGCUCAUAAUUGACAAUUAGUGUAAAGACUGGAUUGUGUACCACUGACACCAGUGGGGAUAUUACGACCGACAUCAAUAAACAUAGCAUACAGUGUCUACAGAGAGGGCUGCUCUGAGCGUGGCUCCAUCUCUGAAGAAAUGACCACAUUACCAACAAGAAAAAUUAAUCCAUUGGCUUUUGUUUGCAUGCAUUUUGCAGGAGCAAAUCCUGCUUGUUUUCCAUUUCUGUGCUGUGAGAAGCGCAUUGAUUUUUCCUCACUUCUGAUUGUUCACAUUACUGGAUUGCUUUUAAAUAGCUGACAGAGAGAUCAUUCAUUUUCCUGCCCCAACAUAUUUUACAGCACAUUUUUGCUGUAUUUGUAUGUAUGUUUUUCCCAGCAGUUGUACACCAUAUUGAUCCCAUUUACAAGCUGCAGUCCGUGGGUGUGUUAGGAGCCACUCCUCCAAGGGCUUCGUUCCCUUUCCACCCUCCCCAGCAGCUUCACAUCUGCUUUUCAGGGCUUUGAUUGGAAAUUGGAGGCAAGGUUCUAAGACGGCCUCUAAGCCAAUGGUCAGAAAACGCUGUCCCAGCCCAAACACCCCGUGCCAUAGGACACAGUACCGUGCUCACAGCCAGACUGUAGUGCAUAAUCCAACCGGUGAAGGGUUGCAGCCAAGGAGCAGGUAGGAGGCUGCAUUUCUGUCUGAAGGUUAGCAUCAGGAAAACAUGGAGCAGCUGACCGUGGCAGUGCUUAUGCCGUUCCACUCCUGAAGUUUACCUCUAGGGAGUGGCGAAAUGCAAUUUUUUUUACGCUUACAGAUUAGUGACAUUAAAAGCCACAUCUAAAAUAUGCAAACUUGUCCUGCCUGGAAGUUAUGUCGACCUCAGCAGGAAUUGCACAUAUUAAAUACUAUUGCCUAGAAAAGUUAGAAACAUCUUGUCUGUUCAGCAGGACCACGGCUGACCCAGAAAUAGCUCUCAGUGCCUGGGGCAGGAGAUGGCAGGGGAAUAACCAACCACUGGGUUAACUCCGUGCAGAAUACAAACCCUUCAUUAUAUCAUCUUUUUUUUUUCUCUCCUGGCCCAUGCUUUAUCUGCCCUUUGCUUUGAUAGUAGAAAAGCGAACUCUGAGGGAAAGGAUAUUAAUCCCUCAUAGCUAUUCACUCUGGAAAAAUAAUGGGGCCAUUCAGUGCUUGUAGUGAAUGUCACUGAGGUCAGUGAGGGCACUGCAGCUGCCCCUGAGCAGUGCCAUAGCAGCAGCAGUGUGCCAUGGCGGGGAUCUCCCUGCUGUUGGCACUGCGGGGUCCCAGCGCUGCAGCUGCUGCUCCUUCGUCCCGCGAUCAGCGCCUGCACUCUGACAGCUCAGACAGCCUGGAAAAACAACAGCAGCACUUCAUAGGCUUGCUUUACACCUUUGGCGUAGCUCGAGGCUAAGAGAUUUUUUUUAAUGGAGUUUCAGUGUAAAUCCUUUAGUUUCCAGGGCAUUUAGCAUGGGCAUGAAGGCAGCACAAACCUGGCUAGAGCGCAGGCUGUGGGUUUGGAGCAAGGAGUGCUCACUGCAGCACCUGCCACCACCCCGCAGCGCAGGGUGGCGCUCCCUGGGCACCUGCAGGCAUUUAUGGAUUACAGCAUUUAUUUCCUGAGGCGGCUCAUAUGUCUUCCCCUGAGAGCGAUGCAGUCGCGGGGGGAGCACGUUCCUCUGAUCUGUCUCUAUCAGGUCUCGUCCUGCCAGUCUGAGUGAAGCAUCCAGGCCUGACUUGCACAGCACCUUCACUGGAGGAAGAUGGAUUGGGUGUAGGAGUGGUCCCACACGCUCCAGAGGGCUGUUGCCUGUUUCUAGGGUAUUUGCCAGCAGACAGAUUCAAUUUAGUUCAACAACACCAUCCUCAAAAGCAGCUAAACGAAACGAAUGGCUGAUGCAGCACUGCUCACCAGGAGGAGCGAGGUGCUCUGGGUUUACCCACGCUGGGCACAGCGCUGCUCAGUGCCUGCAGCCCUGGGGGCUGACUGCAGGGCCAUGGGCAGCAAACAGUGGUGCUCAUAAUGAGAAUUAAUAAUGAAUUGAUCGCAUUGCUCUCGGUGAAUUAUCUCCAGUAAUCACAUGCAAUUUGCUACUUUAGUGGAUACUCUGAUCGUAAACAGGUCUGGUAGAAUAAAGUUGUGGGAACUGAACCUAAAAGGAGGGAGAAAACGGUCAAGGCUAAUUACAUGAAAUGUUCUAAGCAACAUUUGCACAUAAACGUUUUCAGUGUUUGCCCAGCACUAGCAAAAUGAAUCCCAGACAGCAAAUGUGGGGAAAAUUACCUUCUGACAUGGUACUGCAUCCAGUAUAACUGAGGGUGAAUUUGCAGGUAACUGCCCAUAGUAACAGUGACAUUUGGUGUCCCAAUUUGCUCCUGCCUUCAUUUUUCUGUGCUCACAACACUGCCGGGUUCACGGGGCUGUGCUGAUGCAGGCAGCUGCUCUGCCCAUGGGGUCCUUCGGUGUUUACUGGAGAGCUUUGUGAACAGGGCAGACUUGGGCAGCACUGUUGGGCUGCAGCACUGCUGGGAGCUGCUGAAAUCCGUCCUGCUGCCCAGAGCACACCUCUUCCAGACUGCUAACAGACCCCACUCGAAUUACGUUGUUUUACUUGCAGUCGGUGCUCGCAGUGCCUGCUCGCAUCACCCCCCUCCCCCCCCGCUGUAUGGUGACGGUCUAUGAGUCAGAUUUCACAGCACUGAGAAAAUUAACGCUUCGGAGCAUUUAUCUCCAUUAUUGAUGUUCUGUCAGCAGCAGCACUUCAGGAUUCUCUCCAGAGAAACGAAUGGCGCUGACAAACCCACUGAACUUCUGUUCCCAUCUAAAUAUCUAGAUAAAGGAUGGCAUUUCUGUAUGCAAGAAACAUUAUUUGGUGAUAGCAAACUGUUAUCUGUUUUCCCUGUACCAGGACAUUUGUUAGGGUUUCUUUUUCUGGCUGACAUUCUGAAGUGUGAUUUGGCAGGUGUUAUUUAUGCACGUGUUGGUCUCUUACAUCUCUUUCCACUGAAGUAUUAAGGCAUUCAACUUCCAGUUAGGCCACCGAUUUCCAUUACUUUCAGCUAGAAACGUCUCCUGGAGCCUCGUCAGCUCUGUGUCUGUGUGUGGGUCUGUGCAGCACUGCAUUGCUGCAUGGCUGUCUGUGGCACACAGGAGCACUGAUAGCAGUGGCACUGCUCAGUGAUCGCUGGGGCUGGAGCUGAGGCUGGCUGUGACUGACCCUAUCCUAUCUCACCCCUCACUGCGCCAUGUGCUGCCCUUCUGCUGCUCCUUGGUUUUGUUUUUAACCAGGGCUGUUAAACAAAUCUCCCCAACCAAACUCGCUGUUAGAUGUUCUUAAGUUUGUGAGCAGAGUCUUUCUGGUGGAAGUGCUGCCAGCGCAUUUCCUAUGCAGAAGAAGCAAGUGUGUUUCUUGAAAUAAAAAUGAGGACAGAACGAAAUUAUAAAGAAUUCAAAUAUUCAGUGUUUUGGACAGCUGAAUUUGAAGUAAAUCCACAGGAAGGAUGUAAGCAUUUCCUCAUCCGGCCGCCCGCAGUGCAUCUCAGUGGCCAUGCAGGAGCCUCAGCACAGACACAGCACCCACAGCUCCAGCCAAGGCAGCGGGCUGCCCUGCUGAUGGCCCAGGCAGGUCGGGGUGUUGUAUUGAGUGAUCAGCGAUCUGAGGGCUGUCCUGGCAGAGCCUAUUGCUGAGCCAUGACAGCCACACAUCCACAGGGUGCUGCUGAAUUUUUAAUGGACUUCAGUUUACCAUUGAAAUGCAGCACUGAGCCAACGGCCCUGGCUGCACCCUAGCACACAGCCCAGCACACAGCCCGGCCGUGAUGCUGCCCAGGACCACUCUGCGCUCUGUGAGCCCCACACACUGUCCCCAUGCAGCACCCCGCAGCACACAGCUCACCCCAUCUGCACUGUGCCUUUCCUCGCUGCACACCUUUGGGCUGCACAGAGAGCUCUGCACCCAGGGAGGUGAGGGCAGCUCACAGUGCUGAUGAGUAGGGUUAUGGUAAUGCAGAUUAUGUAAAUGUUCUGGGUUUUGUACCAUUCCUGGUGCCACUCAUGGGAACAAGUGUUUUCUGGUGCGUGAGCAGGCUGCAGAACAGAACCCUGCUCCCUGUUAAAAAUGCUUUGCAGGAACAGAAGCGUCUUUGGAGGUUCACUACUCUAAUACCCAACCAGAGGCUGUGAGCACAGCACGCGCCGCGCAGAAGCCAAAUAACCCUCCAGGAAUUCUUCCUAUUAAAAUAAUUGCUAGGGCAGAAGAGUGCUGCAAACAGCUGCGGUUCAUCCUAUAAACAUAUUCUCCCUCCUUUUGGAGCCUCAGCUUCCAGCGUGUGCCAGAGCCCGUCAGCUGCAGGAGUGGUGGAACAUAUUUCCUUUACAGAAAUGAAACGAUUACUGUUGAAUAAAUAUGUUAUGCAUAGGCCUGAACUAUCCAGUGAGUACUGCAUAAGUAAAGAGGAAAAAAGUGACAGUGUUUCACACCGAAAUGAGCUGAAGCAACAGUUCAUCUGGUAGCAUGAUGGCAGCAGAGCUGUGCUGGCAGCCUGGCAACACCGAGUGUAAUGAAAAAAUCCUUUGGAACCAGUUCAGCUCUGAAUGGCAGCAUCCCGCCUUGGACGUGCCCUCGCUGUGGCUGGGGGGCAGUGGGACACAUGGGGUCCCCAGGGCGAGGUGUGCCCUCCUGCUGCACACCAUCCCCUCACCCACCGCUGUGCACAGGCUCUGGUUUGUUUCAGAGGGCUCUGAGCUGGGGCUGUGCUGGGCUGAACCUAAUCCCCGAAUAUCAGGACGCUUCUCCUGUAAAGCUGUACCUGCAAGGGGCGUGCAGCACGUGCUGCCCUGCAGAACACUGUGUCACAGCUUCAGCGUGGCUGAGAAAACACCACUAUCUGCCAAAAGCGCUUGUGUUGGUUCGUAGUACAAUGGGAGUUGUUGCAGGAGCAGCAGUAAUGUUUGUGUCUGUAGUAUGGAGCCUUCAGUGCACUCAGAAGUGGAAACAGACUUCUGGGGACGGUGAAGAACAGCACUUAGAGCUUGUUGCUGUGGUUUAAAUACAGUCAGAUUGGCCCAGUGCAGGGGAAGUACCAGCUGCUGGGCAGGCGCCUCUUCAGUACCCAGACAGUACUUGUAUAAAGUAUCAUUUGCCUCUUGCACUGUUUCUUUAAUAUUUUGACCACAGGCCUGGACAACAUGCAAUCCAGUCUUGUCUCAUGGACAGACAAGGCUAAGUUGGCUCUCAGCCCUAUGGGAACAUGGGAUUCCCUGAUGUGUUCUGGUUGCAGUGCUGGUGUGAGCCGCGCUCUGAGGUCAGCACAGCCCUUCCUGUGGCUCUGCACCAGGCAGGGGCUGCAGCCUGGGCCGAGGGGAAACAGAGCAUAACAUCAGGGAGAGGCACAGUGGCUGAUGGGUCCAUUUGCCCUCCUUCUGCAUGUUUGGCCAUUGUCUGACAGCUCAGACUCCCGGCAAAGCCAUUUGUUUCUGUAACUCAUGUCCAGAGGGAGCAGAUGAGCAAUGGACACUGCUGCCCCUGGACACGCUGCACUGUUGCCAUCCCCCCACCCAACCCAUCUCUCCCUGCAGCACAGAGCCCUGCUGCCCGCCCAUCAUCGCACUGCACCGCCUGUGCCAUGUUUGCACAGUACUGUUAAUCAGAGGCACAGUUCAGGGCUUCCGAGUGGCACAUCCAGCUACGCACGGAGCAAACACGUUGUAAAACUACUGUGCUGCGGCCACCUUCCUAAUGAAUGCAAAGUGGGAGCGAUCAAUCAGAGUGAGAGCAGUCAGCACUCAGCUCCCUGCAUCUGCAAACGCAAAUUGAAUGAACAAUAAUGAGUGUUAUCUAAUUAGUCCUCACAGCUGCAAUGUUACAGCCCUGUAUAGGACAUACCUUGUUAAAUUUCAUGGUAUAUAUAAUAGAGUGUCUGAGUUAAAAUGAUUGAGAUUCACCAUGUGCAUGCUUAGUACAAUAGAGAUAGGCAGAUUCUCAGUGAUAAAUGUAUUGUCCUCAGCAAAUGGCCUCUGCAUCAGCUAAUGCCAGGCUCACUCCAACAGAAGCUAGUUGGGAGCGAAUCACCAGAGGUAGCACAUGGAUUGGCCCAGGAUUACGGGUAGAUGGGAGCUGGGGUCACCCCCUAGGCAGGAACGCUCCUCCGUGGUGCUCCUCAGAGGACCCUGGGGCUGGACCUGUCCCCGAGGCAGCUCUACUCAAAACCACACCAGGAGUUUGGAUAACAAAGUGCUUUGGGCAGUUCUUUAGAAGGGGGAGGACUUCUUUAAUGAGCUUGGUAUCAUCUGGGGGGAAUUUUAGAGCUGCAGUGGGAAGAUGUAUUUGCACCAAGUGCAACCAUCACAUUGUCUCUUCCUAUGAGAAAAUCAUUAAUAAAAGAUCCAUUCGUUCUUCUCCAGGCAGUUCUUUUGCCACCAUGCACAAGAUGUAUUUUUGGAGUGAGGUGAUAAGUUUGUAGGAUGCAACAUCAGUUUUACAGUAGAGCCGUUGGCAUUAGUGAGAGCAGAAUGGUAACAGAAGCCGUAAAAAUAACAGAUGGAAGACAGAUACAAUAAAGUGGAAGCGCAGGCAAAUUAUAAAACCAUUCAAACUGUUCAUGAAGAUAAAACAAGAAAACAAAAGCAUCUGAAAUCGCGAGGAUUGGGAGUCUGCUGGGGAAAAACCUCUGAGUUUGGAGUUGGUUGUUUGUGGUGGAGACGUUUGCGUUUGGAGGAGCUGAGGGAGGAGCAGUGAUUUGUGCUGCCAAGGGAAGCAUUGCUGCUGCACCGUUUGUCGGAGAGGAUCAUUGGCUGUGUGCGGGCAUAAAGAUGGUGCUUUUUUUCUCAGCCCACACUCCAAAUGUUCAUGUUUGACUUGUGUCAAUGCAGUUACUUUAUUACCAUACUAAAAUAUCAUCCAACCGCAAGAAGUGUGGCAGGAAGAGGGCUCAGCCCGCACUGAGCCAGGAGGCUGCAGCUCGGGACGGCUGCUGGGAUGUGGGCAGAGCCAACAGCUGUGCUGGGGCACCACAGCCAGCAUCCCGUGUGAGCCGGGUGGGCACCGAGAGGUGCGCCACGUGUGAGCCCAGGUCAUGGCAGUGAGCAGAUAAGGGGCGUCCUGAGCCAGAAGGCGUACUGGGCUGAGGUGUUUGUAGCCACAGAAAGGCUGCUGCUCUCUGAGUUAACUGAGUUCCUCUUAAAGCCAUCCAUCCCUCCAGCUGUCACACCUCUCCCGUGUGAUUACACAGCGCCUAUCACUGCACUGCGUGCCCCCUCCAGUGCUCCUUCACAUCACUUAUCCAAAUUCUCACGGCAGGUUCCCACAACAUCUGGUGCUUAUUAAUGCCUUGGGUGCUGAAGAUGCUGGCCCGGAGCCUGGUUUCUUUUCCUCAGUGCCUUUAUGAGUGUGUUAAGCAGGGGGAAAUGAGAUCAGAAUAUUUUCUAAGCAUUCUAUCCAGAAGGUAAACGAAGACCCUCAGUGCAUUUCCAUCUGCAGGUGUGACAGUUCUUAACCCAAUCUCACGUCUUUGGCAGAAGGGAGGAAUGGGUUCAUGGGAGCUCUGUGUGCGCAGUGCGUGGUGAUGCACGGUGAGCAGCUGUUUGCAUUGAGGGCUCUGCGGGGCCAGGCUGCCAGCAUGGGGCGGGAGGGGGGUGCUCUGCCCAGCAGUGGGUGUGGGCACGUGGGGCAGGGGAAGCAAACGGAACACACCCUGGCACCUCGAUUAAUUUAGGUAUCACUGUAAAACCCUGAGCGGUAUAACUGACUCUUUGUUCUCAGAGAUUGGCAUUAUUACUCUAAAUUUCAUAAUUCUUCCUAAUAAAGAGCUCACUUCAGGAUCACAGCAUUUGGAAUAUUGCACAGAAACAUUUGGAUCAUUGCAGCGGUGCUGGGAGUUAUAGUAACCAUUAUGUUGUACUGUGAAAUGGGUGCAAUUAAGAGAGACUUCAGAGUGAGAUGUGGGAAAAGAUGAGUGCUUGGGGGGGGGGGGCUGAAAGGGAUGAGAGAGAAAAGGCAGCCCAUUUACUCCCCCUGAGCUCAGUGCCCCCGCAGCCCUCAGGGCACACUCAGUGUGUGCAGUCUGUGCCAGGGACAGUUGGGCAGACAGCGCAGCAAUGUGAGCCCUGCAGGACAGGGGGGGGUGGGGGGGGGGGAAAUGGUCCCCACAUUCUGCCCCACGCCCUUCUGAUGGCACAGAGGUGUGUGAGCACAGCCGCCAGCAGGGAAACCCACGCUGAGAGAGCUCCCCGUGCCCUGGCACAGCCGCACAGCACACAGCUGCUGCUGCACAGCACAGACGCUCCCUGAGCCUGCGUCCCCCCGAGCGAUGAGCGACCAAAGCUUUCAGUGACCUCUUUGUAGCUGUGAUUUCCUGCACUUCUGCACAGAAGCGGUCUGAGCAGGAGAAGCCAUUGGCCCCCUUGUGAUGCUGCAGAGCUGCUUGUGUUUUUCCUUCUCUCUUUGGCUGGGAUUACAAGGAUAGCACUGCUUCCAGUGCUAUCCUUUUCUGUGGUUCUUAAAGCACUUCAGUGUAUUUUACAUUUAAAUAGAAAAGAGGCCUUCUUGAAACAAAUCUAUUCCAGUUGGCUUUGCACAUUGAUGAUAAAAGAACACGGUUCAAUUUUUCCUCUCAUUGUGAGCAGUGUCUCAUUAGCCGUGCUCUUAUUGCUGCUCAUAUCCGUCACGAUUUGUGUCAGCAGAGCGCUUGCACGGACGGACAGCUUAUCAUCAGCUCUAAGGAAGGGACAGAACACAGGAAUGGUGCUAAAAAAGGGAAAGGUAAUUAGUGCCGGUGCCAGCACAUAAACAAAGCUUGGCAUUCCCACUUUCGAAAUCCAAAUGAACCCGCAUCUUGGGGCUGCAGCCCUGCAUGCACCACUGCCGCACGGCCCCGCAGUGCAGACACUGUGCGGUGCUGCGGGUGGCUGUGGGAAUCACAGGAACCCAAACAGCCGCUUUUUCAGCCCCCACCAGAAUGUUAUCACCCUGAUGUGAUCCUUCUGCAGAGCAAUGAGGCCCGGUUACGUGAUGCAUGAAGUGGGAGUAGGAGUGAGGGUCAGGGAGGACAGAUUAAAGCGAUCUGGGACUCUCUAAGUGAGGAGAAAAGGGGACCAGAGGGAGCUGUGAUAGCUCUGUACAAAUACUGAGAGGGACAUAAUGUGGAGGACAGGGACCCAUUACUCUAAUUAGUGAAUGAGAACCGAAUGAGAAAUAAUGGCUCACACUGUAGCAGCGCAGCUGUGAUUGAAAGGUUCUGAGCAGAACCCAGGGGGCCCAUGGAGCUCCUGGCUGUGCGUAGGGCCAGAGCUGCUCACAAAGCAUGGGGAGCAGCCCUGCACAGGGCAGCUGCUGUGCUCUGCGAUGUGGCUCGGAGCGCUGCCUGGCCCUCACCUGGUCCAGGUACAGAGAAACUCUAUCUGACUGCAGCCAGUGCCCCACAGCUUUGGGUAGGAGAGGUAUGGAGCUGCUGCAGGGCUGAGUGCCUCAGUGCCUUUGAGAAGCAGUGAGCAACUGUUUAUAUUGUCUGAGAGCAGAGCAAUUAGCCUGUGUCACUACCGUGCAGUGUUUCUUUUGCCAUAAUAUGGAGCUUUUAAGAAGAAAAUUAAACCUGCCAAGCACCAUUACGUUAUGAGCACAGUAAGCAGCAGCCAUGCUGAUCUCAGCAGUGUGCACUGGGUGAUCUUUUUGCUGGGUUCGUGUGUACGUGGUGCUUCCUGUUCAACUAUGGAAAAUGUUCCCUUCCCUGUGCUGAUCCCCACUAUCUGCAGGUGACAUGAUAUGCACAGGGCUGCAGCCUUCCCAUCAUAUGCGUUGUACUGAUGUGGAGGUGCACGUGGGAAUAGCUUUGAAAGCUGAGCAGGAAACUCUCAGAGUGCAUUAGCGGUUGGUGAGUUGGGCACAACAACCACUCAGGAAAUUAAAAGGAGGGUGAGAUUUUGAGGUGAUAAAACAUUAAAAUAUGAAACUUGCAUUUGAGUCAGAUCCAGAGUUAAUUUUAUCUUUUCAAGCUGCAGCUUAGGAGAACCUUGGUUCCAUGCCAGCAAGCGAAAUCUUUGGGCUAUUGCAAAGGAGAGGAGGAGGAACCUGGUGGUUUUGGAGUGGGGUUCUCGGAGGUGCACUGAUGGAUGAGCAGUGCUGAACACAAUCACAGGGCAGAGGCACUGACAGUGCAGCUGAAAGCCGCGGGCAGGGGCUGCUGCACUGCUGGGUUUGCUCACCAUCUUUUGUGGCUGUUACAGAGGUUCAGAUUUCAUCACAGACAUUCAGUGGAAAGAGAUGAUAAAAGCCAAAGGGGAAAGGCAAGAAAACACCAUUUAAGAACUAAAUGCAAAAUUACGAAGCCUCAGCUUGCUUCAGCAGGAGAGAUUUUUAUGCAUUUUUUGGCAUUUACAAAUCCUUUGUGAAAAGGUCACCCCGUACUUGGAAGCUUAUUAAUACUGAAGAUGGCCUAGAAAAUGUCAUGUCUUUUUACCAUGAUAUUUACACAAAAAAGAGCACUGAGCACAUGCAAGCUCCCAGCAGGAUGGUGCAGUGGGGCCGGGGCACAGCUUGGCCGGGGGCUGCGUUCCCGCACACCUCACUCUGCUGCCCAUCCCAUGCAGGGGCUGCUCUGAUCUCUGGGCACUGAGGGCUGAGCUGGGGGCUGCAGGCAGCACGGCGCUGCCCAUUACCCACCAUGGGCUGUGCAGAGACAAUGGCUUGUCUUCAUCACCAUCACCACGUAAUAAUCGUUACAUGAAACAGACCCAAAAUAGGCCUCUCUAUUUAGCAUUACCAUGAUUAAUUUCUCCUCUUUUUUUGCAGCAAGAAGACAAACGAUAAAAGGUUUUUCUCUCUGCUCUCUUCCUCCUUAGCAAGCAGCCAACAUGCAGCCCUGUGGGCUCAGAGAACAACAAGAACAAAUCACUGGCUUCUUCCAGAGAUGGAUUAUUCCCCCACAGACAAUACAUUGAUCCUAACAGACUUCCAUCUGUUUUCUGGACUUUCAAAGAACAGCUAUUACCAUUCAAUUAUCAUGCUUCAUUAAACAGGCUAAAACCUGUAACACGCACAGGUUUGGUUGGAACAAAUGUUCAGCAGCUGUGCUGUGCUGUGCCAUGCCGUGCCAUGCUGUGUCGUGCCGUCCUGUGUUGUGCUGUGUCGUGCCAUGCUGUGCCGUGCUGUGCUGUCCUUGCUAUGCUCCAGGAUUGAGGUUGUGCUCAGAACAGCUCUGUCAGCACCAUGUAUCUGGUGCAGCUGUGUGCUGCUCACGCAUGUGACACUUAAUAACAAUUAUGUAUAAAGUUCUAUGACUCAGGUAGUUAAUUAUCAAAGCAGAAAUAAAGAACAAUGAACUUUUCCCAGGAUUACUGCAGCCUUUAGAGCCAGGCUGUCUUCUGCCAUUACCUGUUCUAAUUAACCGCAGCCCUCAGCACUUCACGGUGCACCGGAGCCAUGAGCUGGAGCCCAAUGGGAUGCGUGUGCUGCACUGUGAGCACACACAGCAGCAGUACUCUGCCCUGUCUGAGCCGUGUCCCAUCUCCCAUGGAUGUUUUUGCAGUACACAGAAUAAAGCUGCACCAACAUGAGACCGUUUGAGAGGACCAGUUGAAAAGAACAUCCUUAUUCCUUUGUUCAAAACCUAUGCUUUGGCUUCUGGGUCAAAAAGUCAUUUUGCAUUUAUUAUUUGUACCAGAAAUUGAGCAUUCUUUGCAGCACUGCAGAUGGAGAAAAGGGAAAAAAUGUCAUCGCUCAGCAGCACGUAGGCAGCCUGAGCGUGUGAUUACACAACACAGAAACAGUGCAUUCUGUGCCUAAUGCAAAAUUAAACAUUAUGAAACAAUCUGAGUGAUGUGUUUGGUCCCAGGAGAGAUUGGUUCAGCAACACAGACAGCGAUGCUCAUCUCCCACCACCGCACCAGGCGUCAGCAGUGGGAACACAACUCGUGUGCUCCAAUGAGCAGUGAAACCAGGCUCUGCCUCCACCUCCCAGCAACUGCACUUCUCCUUUUUUUCCAUGGGAAUUUUCCAUUCUGAUUAGAUUUCCUCUUUAUUGGUACCUUCCCUCUAAUUCUGUCUCUCUGGCCCAUUCUCCCCGCCAUUAAACUUGCACUUUUAUUGUUCAUUUUCUUCAUUCACCAAGGGCAACAUGCAUUGCACACGUGCUGGGGAAAGAGGAAUGGGGAAAGGAGGAGAAACAGAAGAGAAAAUAGAGACAGCUGGAAAAGCAUUGACAUGGAACAUACUGGAAACAUGCUGGGUUUCAACAUGCACUUAAGAACCCAUGAGAUGACCACACCACUAAGACCAGCUUCAUUGGUUGGAAAGUCCCUUUCACAAAGAAGAAAAAAUUUCCAUUCUGCUGCAGAUCUGUGAAUUCUGAGCUCUGUUCCUGAGGGCUGCACAGGGGGGCAGUGCUGGGCUCUGUGCCACCAUAUAUGCGAGGAGCAGCAGUGCUGUGCUGCAGGACCAGGCCGCCCCGAACCGCUGCGUCCCAUCACUGCGCUGCACUGCCUGCAUCUGCAUAUACAAUCCAAUGAAAAAUGUAUGACUGCUAAACACACACAUAUGUCAUAAUUAAACACAAACAAUCAUUUCCAAAUAACUGUUUACCACGUUGCAUAUGCCGUUCUGCAAUUAAUCUCAAUGACUCUUUCUCCUUGCACAUGAGCAUGGAGGCAGCUCCUGGCACAGUGCUGGCGGCACGUGGGGCUGCACUGACAGCACUCCCUGCCUGAUGCACAGGUUGGAGCUCUGUCAGUGUCAGACAGAUGCCUUGUUCUCUGCUGUUUGUUCUGAGAAAGCUUCAGAGAGAGAUUUAUAGGAUGAGUGCUGUUCAAACAUUAAUCCCAGCGCAGGGCCCACGUGGUGCCCACUCUGGCAGCACUCUGCAGAACAUGCCCCAUUCUGUGCCUGCUCCCACACACACAUUGGUCACCCUCUGAGGAUGGCUGUGGGGUUGGGGACAGAGCUCAGCAUGGGGCGGGCACAGAGCUGUGUUUCAUGCAUGACUCUGCAGUGGGGCAGCACUGGGCACUGCUGGUACUGCAUUCAGCACCAUGCAGCCCCGAGCCCCAUGCAGAUGGGGCAGGUGGAGGCACAGGGAUCCUCCUGCAGACCUGGGCUUGAUGCCCUCCUACGAAGCCAAACUCUUUAGAAGUGGUUCAUGUUGUGUAUGUUCAGUUUUUUUGCUAGCACUACUGGCCUGACAGUCUCAGCUGUUUAUUUUCAGGAUGUUUACCCAAUCUUUGCUGUAAACAAAUUUUCAGAGGGCAAAAGCAUAGCAUGAAAAUCAUCAAAAAUAUCUACACCAUAAAGACUGUCAGUUCAGGAAAUUCAGUUAGGAAAAAAGAGGAGAGGUGAAAGAAGCAGGAGAAGCUGCAGUGAGGGACCACCACUCUCACUGCCCUGAGCCCCCUCCCUGUUGCACACCAUCCCAGACCCUCAGCCUGCAGCAGAGCUGUUCCCAUUGUCUGGAAACCCCUGGUGCAAUGCCAGCAUUGAAGUGACCCCUGUAAUGGGAAUCACGUGAGGACAGCGAGCAGACAGCACAAGCAGAGAAAGUGGAUUUCAUUUCUAUGUAUCACCUUCUAUUAGCAUCAGAGGAAGGUCUCUAUUACACCCACUGCUUGUCUGCAGAGAGGGCACACUCAGCAAAUCGAAACUGAGAUGUGUCUUUAGAGGAGAUGGACACGGCUGCCAGCCAUCACUCCCUGCCUGCUGAGAUGCACGGCUCUGCACACAGCUCUGCUGCAGCCCACGAGGACGGAGCUCCGCGUGGUGCUUUGCGCACAAACAGUGGGCUGUGCCCCCGGAGCGGCCCUCCCAAAUCCCAGCAGCCCUCCUGCAUCCCAACAGCCUGCUAAUCGCUAAUGAACAACAAGUUUCCUUGCUAGCAUGUAAACGAUGAAAUUUGGCUUUUAUGCUGCAUAAUAUGACUCCAUCAGCUACCUUGUGAGAUGGGGAUUUUCCAGGGUAUGCCAAUGUUCCAAUUAUCAGCAAAUUGCCAGCUCUUGGAACAGAGCUGUGUAUUAACUCCAAGCAAGUGAGCGUUCACUGAAUUACUUGGAACAGUAAACAGCUCUUCCUGGGGUGUGUAAAUAAUCCCAGGGUAUCAAGGAAAUGAGAAAAAGAGAUUUAAAAACUAAUUUGCCUGGGUACAGUAAAAAUUUAAAAGGAAAUCAGUAAACGAAGGGUUAUCCAUGCAACAGUUAUUUUGAUUGUUAUGAGCUUGGUUUGCAAACACCUUCCAGCCCAGCGCUGACCCUUUGCUCAGUGCCACCCCACGGGGCAGGGGCAGCCCUGGGCUCAGCGCCGUGCCAGGAUGCGGCCCCCCCGGGUGGGGGGCGGCUGAUGGCUGAUGGGCUGUUGAGGAGCAGAAGGCUCAGCGCAUGGGCAGGGCUCUGGGGCUUUCUUCCCACCUGUUUUAAAUUUAAAAUUCAGUUCCCUCAUCUCUGAGCUAAUGCACUAAUGGACAGUCACCAUUACCCAACUUCUGACCUAAUGGGCACAGUAAAUAAGUGAAAGGCUCAUAAAAUCAGAUUUACUGAGCAUCCUUCCUUUUGCUGUCCAUUAACUGAAACUAUUCAUUAGGUUAAGAAUACCUGGGGUACAGAGCUGUGUUCUCUUGCAUUAACGCUGUCACACUGACGUCUCAGCACCCAAGAACUCACAGAGGCCGUUGGGUCGCAGCCCCCAGCAUAUCCCCUGUGGGCACGGGGCGAGCACAGGGCUGGGGGAGCAGGGGCUGCAGGAACCCCAUAAAUCGCUGCAGUUGUCUCCUCUGCCAGAGCCUAUCCCUGCACCGGGAGCCCCAGCCACGUCCCGGCUGUCGGCCUCUGGAAACAGGGGCACACCAACCCACUGUGUGCCAUAAAAACCCUCCUCCUUUAAAAGAAUUGAAAGCUCUGCAUCCUGGGCUGACACAGGCAGGGAAGCCCUGAUGCUGUGCACGCAGACACUGAAACCCCAUGCUAUGAAACCAGCGGGUGCCUGAGGUGCCACGGGAGCACCCAGAAGCAUUAGAGUGCCUAAGAUUUAAUUCUGCCAUGACACCUCCUUGGAAUCGCACUGCUAAUUGAUCAAAUUUUGCCUGCCUGUUACUUAAACUUUCAAUAAAAUGUAGAUUAGUGGGAGGUGUGAUUCUCUGGGCAGAAUGCAGCCUCCCACCACCAUGGCAGGUACUGAAUAGCAAUGCCCUGUGCACAGCAUCCAACCUGUGAGCACUAAACUAAUCACAGAGGUGCACUGAUUCCUUAACUGCUUGAUGGGAUUUCCUCUGCAGUUCCACCCCCCAGCUGUCCCCCAUACCUGGACAAGGCACACGGUAUGCAAAAGGGAUGGCACAGAGCGCAGCCGCUGCACCGCACACGGCCAUGUGCUGUGGGCAGAGCUGUGUGCCCGCACUCACGUUGGCACUCACAAGAGCAGGACUGCCCUUCUAUGUGCCCCUUAUAGUCAUGUUUUCAGCAAAUUCACCUCUUGCCUGACAAAGACCUCUUCCAUCAUGCAGAAUUAAAACCAAAAAGGGGCACUAAUGAGAGGAGGAACAAGGAGGGAAGCAGCAGCUACUUUGUAUUCCUUCAGCAGUUCUGUUUGUUGUGCAGCGCUAAAUUAACUCCCAUUAAUUCAUCAUGAAAACCAACCUUAGAGAACAGGAUGGAACUUGCAUUUUCUGCUCCUGAAUUAAUGUUGCAUGGAAGCACUUUAUUUUAAGAAUAAUUAAUGAUUACAGUGAAAAAAGUCUUCUAAAGAAUCUGAAGUGUGUCAGUGGUAAAUGGCCACCAUCUCUGCUCGGAGCACUGCCUAUCGCACAGCCAGGGAAUCCCACAGCCGCGCCUCAGCUUCCCAUCCUCCUGUACCUCUGCGCACAGAGGGCCAAGCUGGGUGCUGGCCUCACGCCGGCAGCAGAUCCGGCUGCAAUGGGUGCCGGCUCCAUGCAGACGCCUUUGGGCAUCUCUCCCGGAACGGCUCAUUGUGCUACUUCUACAUUUGCUUCCUCCACCACCACUUAAAAGUUAAUCAUAUCCUCAGUGACUCACGCAGGAAAAUGCUUAGCUGGAUGGCAGCUGAAUUCAGAACAACAGGGCCACAAACACAGCCCAGCAAGCGGCUGUUUGUUCAUUCCAGCAUUUUCUCAAGCAAAUUCCUCAUGUAGUGCUGAGAAAUGAUGCAAAGAAUGCACCAUCCCCAGCACUGUGUGGGAUUUGCUGCCAAUGCUCACUGCACACGCUGACACCUCCCGGCUCACACAGAGAAGCCAACAAUCCACAUCUCACAGCUUGGGCAGCCCACAGAGGGUGCAGCUCACAGCCAUACCCAGCCCUCACAGCACACACAGCUCUGGGAGCACGGAGGGCAGUGGGAACGCACUGCUGCUCCCAAGGGAGGGGAAAAGGGGCUGCGAACAGCAGGAGGACACAGGGGGAGGACAAAUGGAGUCACUUCUAAGUGCUGCUUUCCUGGUGUUUCCCUGAAAGGCCUGACUACCUGUGGAAAAACUGAAGAUGAAAUAAGGAAAAGAUUUAUUGAGUCUCAAAGCCUCCAGUUAAAAUUAAAUGCAGUGAGAAAAGUGGCUUUCCACAUCUAAUUGUCUUUUCCCCAGCACCUAUGUGUCAGUCUCCUCUAAAAGCCUAUUAAUUCUGUAAUUUAGUGCCAGCUGGAGCUGCAGACAGACAAAACCACCACUGCAUUUUGCUCCCAAUUCAUUGACUACCUGUCAUCAGGCAUAAGCGUUAGGGUGCUCUCUCCUUGAAGACUCCAAAUACUAAAAAUUAAAAACUUUUUAUAGGCUGUUUAAUAAAAAAUGUGCUGGCACAUCAGUUAAUAGAAUGGAUUCUGUGACACUCUGUGUUAGGAUUUUAAUUACGGCUAAAAAUAACCCAGCAUGUCAGGAGAGACACAGAGAUCCUUACCCCAGCACGGCGGGGGUCGGCCCAGAGGGUUCCCACAGUGAGACAUCAUUUAUUUGCUUAGCUGUGAGUUCAGAGUUUGCUCUGAAAUUAGACAGAGUUGGUAAUGGAGACAGCAAUGGGAGGAAGGGCUGGAAAUGGAGGCAGCAAUGGGAAGGCAGGCCAGUAUGUACACUUCUCACUGCCACUGUGCAGCAGGUCCUUGCCAACUGCAUCGAGCAGCACAGCAGGGACAGCACUGCAAGGAGCAGCUCCUGGGGCUGGGAAGGACCUCUGCACUCCUACCCUGCUCACCAGCUGCUGUUCCUCCUGCACCAUUUCUGAUCAACCAGGAUGCAAUUUCCCCAUUUCCCCCUGCAACUUAAGCAGAAGCUCAUAGGAACUUUUCCAUUACCUUGCCAGCUGCUCCAGCAUCCAGACUUGCUGUAAACUAGUGCAGGCUUUUAUAGGUGGCACAAUCCAAACUUUGAACCCAUUUGCCUAUUCUGAGGUGUUUUAAGGAGUGCCUCAUUUUUGUUCCUCAAGCAAGACUUCUACAUAGCUGAAGUUCUCCCCCACUCACCUGUUGCUGAGCUCCGCCUGGAGAGGUGCAGCAGCACCAAGAACUGCAGCUGCCUGCAGGCAGCCCCAGCACUGCACACAGUGCAGCUCCCUGCAGGCUGCCCGCCCAAGCUGUUCCUCACCUCUCCGGAUGAGCUGUUAGGUAUUUAGGGAAACAGUUUCUCCUUGGCACAGCUUAAACCAAGCAGUCAUCUAAUUUCCUCUAGAGAAAUGUGCUGGAAAAAUCAGUAAGAUAAAUCUAUCAUUAUAAAUAGCAAUAAACACCUCCUCUAGCAUAGCUGCAUAUUUAGCAGAAGUAUCUGAGUAGUGAUGGUGCAGAUCCACAGUAAAACCCACGAUGGCCAUAGCUCAGAGCUGAGCACAGGACCCACACCUCUGUGCAGAACAUCGGCACAGCCCUGAGAAUGCUCUGCAGGAACUGCUGGGCUGCAGCCCCACCACUGCCACGAGGCAAAAUCUGCAGACACACAGGCACCAAACCCACACUUGUACUCAGAACCAAUGCAAUUCCCACUUCCAGCAUCCAGCUGGAACCCACUGUGCGCCUGCAGGUGGAGGAAUGCACUCUGUUCUCAUGCAAAACCUUGCUGUUUGCAAGCAAAACAGCUGAGAACCGCAUCACUGUUGGACAGGCACAGCUCCUCCUGAAAAUGUUCACUGAUGCAGAGCCCCGUGUGCAGGACAGCACUGCAGAACCCCCGCCUCCACACACACACACACACACACACACACACACACACACGGUGAGGACAUCGUUAUCCCCUGCCCAAGUUCUUCCAUUUGUCACAGAAUUCAGCACACUGCAUAACACACACUUUUCAAGUUAAGCAUCAAAACAGUGAAUACAAAGGAGGAAGGAAGCGUUCACUUGCUGAAGGAGAAUUACUAAGAGCACACUGUUGUAUUAUAAUGCAUCUCCUACUACUACACCAUUUGUAUUAAUGUAUUGGAGGCAUCUACAAAGAAAAACCACAGUUUGGUUCAGAAUGAAGAGCACGGAGAUGUCUGCAAAGCACCGCAGGCCACACGCAGCACCAGCUCCAGCAGCAGCCUGGGGGCUCCCAGCCCUCCCCAGAUAUUGGCCUGCAGGCUGCAUGCAGGAGCUGUGCAUUGGGGGGAGGAGGAGAGCAGCCCCAGUAUUUCUUAGGGCAUCCCCUCAAUGUCCUGUUUGCUCAGCUCUAAGGGACACAGCAGCACCCCGCUGCCAGGCGGCACCGCAGGCAUGAGCCUGGACACGGGCACUGCCCACCCCAUCCUGAGAUCCUGCAGGAAGAAUUAAUUAGUGCGGAUGAUAAAGCACUGUGGGGAAGGAGAAUCAAGGUUAAUAAUGGAUAUUAAUAAAAUAUCAGCAAGGAAAAAUGAGUGGUUGUGUCCCAGCUAAGCCAUCUCCAUGAGUGCAAUACGUCCCUGUCGCUGUAAGUGGUUAUUUCUUGAUAGAUCAGGAGGGGGAAAUAAUGGAGAGGAAAUAAUGCUGCGAGAUUGCAGCUCCACGUGCUGCUCUGCUCAGUGCUCUGCUGGUGACAAAGCUGGUGCCACAGCAGGAGCCAACGUGGCAGCUGGGAGCAGUAAUUAUCCUCGAAGCCAUUACUGACGUGUUUGAGGGGGGCUCCAGGCAGGUGCAAUAUUGCCUGCAAUGGAGCAGGGCAUUCUGCUGGCAGUCACCUUCCCACGGGCACCACGCAGCACACCCAGCGCUGGUGCCAUCCCAUGCCCUGAGCUGUGCCACCCCGGGCAGACAGGGGCAUCCCAGGCUCAGUGGGCAGCAGCACCAUGCAAUGUGGAGAGCCCACAGAGAUGACUGUAAAAACCACAGCACUUAAAAUGUAAACUUGAAUAGAACACAGGCUGUAAUGAAUAAUAUAUGCAGGCAGAAGGAUCUUCCCUCAGCACAGAGCUACUCUUACUGCCAUUCACUUGUACUAUGCUUUAUUCCCAAAGACCAGGCUUGGGGAAGGAGAUGCUGACAUGCUGCCAGUUGUCAUCUUGCCCCAAAAUGUGACCCAGAUGUUUCUUCAUCACCCCCAAAUCCUUCAUUAUCUAUCACUCCUGCGAGGCUCCUCCCCGCUUGGUGCAGCUCCAUCCCCACACAGCAUCACUCGUCCAUGAGCCAAGCAGUGCCCAGGGAAGCCCCGUAGGCACAAGACAGCCCUCUGACUUCAACUAAGGACUGAUAUUCUCACCAGGGCCAGGAUGUGAAGGGCAGUAAUAAAAGGAACAACAACAACAAAAACAUCAAGUUCAUUCAGAGCUGAACAAAACACUUUUCAUCCACUGAAGCCAUCAGAAGGGAAUGGAAAUUCAACUCACCCUUUUCCAUCUCCCAGAACAAGAGCAUUGGACAAGGGGAAAUGGUUCAAACUGAAAGAGGAGAGAUUUAGAUUGAAUAUAAGGAAGUUCUUUACAGUAAGGGUGGUGAGGCACUGCAUAGGCUGCCCAGAGAAGGGGUGGUGUCCCAUCCCUUCAGACAGCUGAGGCGAGGCUGGAGGGGCUCUGAGCACUGAUGGAGCUGCGGGUGUCCCUGCACACUGUGGGGCAGUGGGACCCGAUGGCCUUUAAAGGCCCCUUUAACUCACGUCCAUGGCUCUGUGGUUCUGUGAGAGCCCUGGUCCAGGAUGUUCUGCACAGAGGAAGCCCCAGAAGUGGUCCUGAAGUGCAGCACUGCACGCAGUGCAAGCUGCUGGCUCCUGCUCCACAAAACAAGGCGUGCAUUUAUAAACAGUAAUCCCUCCACAAAGAGAAACCUGUGGUGUUCCAUGAUUUGUAUCGAUCCAUGUCACUCCAAAGCUUCUCACCACAUACUCUUUUAAUAACUCAGCAGCAAGAUGAAAAGCUGCUUUCCUGCUGCCCGAGGAAGGUUAAUGCAUUGUAAGGGAGAAAGUAUUUGCACUUAAUGGGUGAAUUCUAAAAGCUCUGCCGCAUUUCUUGAAGGCCACUUCUGGAAAGUUGAUUCCCAUACAGAGAGCUAUUGCUACUUAUAACUCAGCUGUGCAGCACUGCAGGACUGCCCCGAGGGAGCGCAGGGCGGGAGCUGCACCGCCAGGAACGGACCUUCACAGCACAGCAGCACAGAGGGGCACAGCGAUGGGCUCCGACCCACACCGGGACGGCAGUGCGGCACGGAGCAGUGCCUGCAGGACGGACACACCGCGGCUGCAAGGAGAGAACUCCAGCAAAAAAGGGCUCUGCACAAAGAUGGCCAUAAAUCUCAAUGUGUUUACAACAGAAGACUGACCAGAAGAGUUUAUUAAAUCUAUAAAGGAUCUGAUGUAUAUCAAACUGUUACAUAAAGUCAAUACUUUGGAAAGAAGCAGACAAUAAAUACUCUGCAAGAGGCAAUAUUUCUAUCAAAGAGAAAGCAAUCACAUAAAGAUUAGGAGACCAAUUUCAAUACUGAAUGUCAGUCUGCUGUAAGGAGACAUUUAUUGUUUCUCUGAAUUAUCACAGAGGAGCGAGAUAGCUGUAACACUGUGCUGAGCCGAGCUGGUCACGCUAUUAAGUUAGAAAUACUCUUUCACCUUUUAAAAACCAUUUUUCUGCUUUGCAAAUAUAAGGGCAUCCUCUCUCAGGGCAAAGGGAGGAGCAGCACAGCCACAGCUGCCAGUGCCUCCCAGUGCCCUGCGGUCACAGCUCUGCUUUGGCCUGCAAUGUGGUCUCCUUUAAUGGGAUUCUCUCAGCUCCUUAUGCUACAGGGGCCAUGCUAAAACUGCAUUUCCAUGUUAACACUGCCCUGUAAUUAGCACCACUGGAUCAGAACUGGUAAUAACACUGUCUGCAUUACGCUGUUAAUUACAUUAGUUCUGCCACACAAACCAUGAUGCAGUGCCGAAUGCUCUCCGCUACUUUGAACUGUUGAGAACCUGCCUCUGAUUUUCCCUCUGGCAAGUCCCAGCAGAUUGUGUAUCUGCUCUCCAAUUGACACAGAAUGUUUAUUAUUACAAAAAAGGAGAAAACAAGAAUAUUCAAGAUUUGUUUUCAGACACAGCUUCUGCAGCACAAUCUGGAAACCUCCGAAUUUCCACUUACUUUGCAGUUUGACUACUUUUUGUUAUGGAAUAAGUUACACCAGGAGCAGCCCUGUGCAAAGCCCCAUGCACAGCUCCACACACAGCCGGGCCUCCCUCUGCUUCCUCAAGCAGCAUUCCCUUCCCCUCUGCCCCAGCAGCUCCUCUGCAGCGUGCACUGGAAGCACCUCCAGCUGCCACAGCACUGCCGAUGGCCCCGGGGCUCUGGGUACAAGGAUUGGGAACACAGCCCCCCUCCCCAUCCUGUGGGCAGCACUGGGAGCAGAGCCGGUCCCCAGUGCCACCUUCUUUCCAUCAUUAUCUCCCUUAAAAGGCAGAAAUUGAAAAUGAGAUGCAGAGCCAGUGGCCCCUUUUGAGCUAUGGUUAUUAGCUAUGGUGAGGAUGAAAGCAGCAUGACUCCCUAGAUAAAUACACAGUUCAUUAAAAGUGCUCUGGAUCACUGUAUUCUCCUGAUCAAAAGCCUAAAUCACACGGCUGUGACAUUAAGGAGCUGUGCUGUAUGCGGAGUUGAAACAGGACAGAGCCCGCAUGCCAAGAAGGGACAGAGGGGUGGUGGGAGCACAAGGCUGUGCAGAGCACAGUGCCCAGCACUGCAGAGGCAGCAGGGAAUUUCUGACACGCUGAACGUGCAGAGGCCCCACAGCACACAGCCACGCUGUGCAGGUGCUGCUCUCCCCACUACACCCAUCCCGGACCGCAUGGCAGAAGCGCAGCACCCGCAGGACAGCACCUGGGGAGCACAGCUGCGGAGCACCCAGCACCCCCUGCACCAAUGCCAACUGCAGCAGAGCCUAUCUGUCCACUACUUCAUUCUGAAAGGUCAAAGUGAUCUUCAACACGACGUCAGGGCACGUGGCUCAGCUGAUCUGCAGUGCUGCAGCCACAUUCGUUACCAGGACAGCGUGAGGGAGCCCGGCGCCACUGGGUACUGCUAAACUAAGGCACCUGCACUGCACUAACAGUGCCAUUUGCUGGGGACUGCCCAUGCUUUUCAUUUUCCUGGGCAGGUGCUCAUGGAAAGGAGCGUGCAGAGCCAGGCCAGCAUGGCAGCCCUGGGCUGAGGAGCAGCACCAGUGCAAGCCCUGGGCCAUGUCCCUGCAUGCACCACUGCUCUGCAGAGCUCUACUCGGCUGCAGCAGAAGAGCUUCAGGCUGCCCUUCCUCCUCGUCCCUCUCAGGGAGCUCUCAUCUCAGCACUGACAAAUUGAACACGGCACUCCUGUGACUAAGAUGGAUGGCGGGUAUAAGUGAUACCCAUGGAACAAAUGGCUGAUCUGUGUAUUCUUCCAUUCAGGAUUAGGCUAAUAAGAUGUUCAUUUAUGGAUCUAUUACUCAGUCAUUUAACUGCCUGAAAUAGGAGGAGCAGGCGAGUUCCACUAUCCAGGCAUUGAUUUCCAUCUUCUCAGACUACAUUCUAGUGGGGGGUUUGCUAAGGUAAUUUAGCAGGACAGAUCCAAACCCUCAUUAAGCAGACACAGCGCUUCAAGACACAUCAGAGGAGCCGGAGAUGUCUGAAAGAUUAUGGCAGCUGUGUUCCUCCCCAUGUUUUCCCCCUCUCCCAUGUUAUCCUACAGAUGCAGUGAGCACUCACACUGCUCCAGAGAGAGGGAAGUGGACCAGAUGGAAAACUCAGCUGGGCUGUGCUGGGGACUGGCAGCCAGUGGUGUGCAGGAUGGCACCAUGGGGCUGUACUAGCACCAGCUCAGCUCUAUGCCCCACAGGUACUACUCCACGCACAGCCUAUGCUGCUGCCAGCAUGGCUCAGCCCUGGGCUGCAUUUUCCAUGUGCCUACAGCACCAGGGCCAAGUGGGUGGACCGGCUGUGCCAGCAGGGCCGAGAGCAGCUGCUGCCCUGCUCCCACCAAGUGCUAUGGGCAGCCCUGCUGCCAGCUGCCCACCUCUCCCUGCUCCCAGGGCCCCAGGCUGCAGCUCACCAGUGCUGCCCUACACAGCCCGUUCUGUUCCACCACUUCCAAAAUGAGUGCAGAUCACUGAGCUGUGAACUCAUAUAAAGCUCAGCCCCAUGUUAAUUUUUCUCUUUUGCAUAAUGCAUUUACGAGUGUAUCUAUUUUUUCAUUGCAGAAUAACAUCCCUCUUGUGUAGCCUGGCAUCUCUGUGCUGUGCUGAGGGUCCACGUGAGCUCCGCACUGACCGCAGGAAGCACCAAACAGAGGGACGCCAGCACAGUGUGCACAGCCACGCACCACCCAUCACCAAACACAGGGUUUGCUCUCACCAGCAGGCAGACACUCCCAGCCCACAGCUGGGCACAUAGCCCUGCUUGUUUAACUCCGUGUAAAUGGCACUCUAAUAUUCCCCUUAACUGCUGCACUUAGACAGCUUCUCCCUGUAGCUGUUAAUCAUAUUAAAAGGUAUUGGAUACAUAAUUUCCUUUAAUUAUAUAAAAUAUUGGUGGCUUCCUUCCUUUGGAGCGCUACGCACAGAGCACAUUUCAGACGGCAGUCAGAGAGCUCGUAAUUGUUGAUUUACACCCUAAUUGGAAGACACCUGCUUUCUUUUUUCUGUUGAUUUUUACUUUGAGUCCAAAAUUAUUCCGCAUGUGUCAUCAUUACAUUCAUCAAUACGCGUUUUGUCUUCCACAGAUCCGCCUAAUUGCCUUUCUCAUUCAGACAACCCUGGAGUUAUUUGCUAAUGAACACCGUCGCAGCACAGCAUUCACACACAGCGCUGCCAGCAGGUGGAGAAGUGGGGAAAGGUGCUGAGCCCCUGCAGGGCCGGAGCCCUCCCAGCCAACGUGCACCGCUCCCACUGGAGGCUGCGGCCAACACCGCACGGCACCCGCAGGAAGGGCCUGAAAGGACAAAUGGAGGGAGAGGACAUCGGUGGCAGUGAUAAAAAGAAAGUUUAAAGCUCGCAUUUAGAUAAAUUGACUGGAAAAUUUGAUCCACACCGUCUUUCAAAUACGAUUAUACAAACAGAAUUUGCCUAAAUAUUGUAAUUAAAAUUCUGCCUAUAGCAUAAUAAAAGAGGGAAAAUAGUAUUAAAUGAUCAAGGCAUUUGAAUGUCUGAAAUAUCACCGUGUGAUGUUUCAUGCUAUCCACUAAAUAAGUAAUUUACUGCAAAACCUAUCAAAGCAAAAGGAAAUUAAGUCAGAUAAGGCUGCCUUUUAUUUUGCAGUUCAGUUUUGCAGAGGAUGCCAUCACUUUCAGAGCACGUUUGAUUUCUUUCAAGGAAAAAGCUCCAAGCAAUUCAGCACAGGCCCUGCAACAUGCAGGGUGCAGCAGCUCCAGCAGUGGGUGCUGGCCACCAACAGCUCCCAUCCGGGCAGGACAGGGCAGGGCUGGCUCCACCAUACACCAACAUCCCCACCUCCAGCCCACAGGCCAUGCAGUAUCGCUCCCAAUGGCAUUUGCACCACAGAACAUUUGCGGCAUCAAUAAAAUCCUGGCUCAUCAGCACAAAUAGAAUUUUAAAUGGAAUUCUUAUCAAAUCAGCCUCCCAUCAAGAUCGCACGAUGUCGCGCACACAACCUUUUCAGAAGCUGUGUACAUGACUGCUGCGGGAGGUGCAAGCAAGACAAGCUCCAAUGAGACCGCUCGACUGAUGCAGCGCAACAGGCGGCGGCGUGGGGCUCAGCACCGUUUGGGCGGUGGGUGCUCGGCAGGAUGUGAGCACACUGCCAGCAGUGCAGGAGCAAAGCACAGCCCAGGUGUGCGACACAGACAUGGCACGGCCCUGUGCGUCCCUCCCCACCUGCAGUGUGCAGAGCAAACUGCACGGCACAGCUGUCUGAAGGAGCGCAGCCCCAACAGCAGCACGGGUGCCUGUGUGACAACCCCGAGAAAUAUUUCUGCAAACACAAUAGAAGAGAUAAUGGUAAUUAGGCCAGCGUUUUGUGCCAUAAUGUUCUUGAAUGCCUACAAAAAUACAAUAUUUUCAGCAAAAGAUAAUUGAAAAGAUUAUUUGCCUUAUCUAAAAUAAGUUUUUUCCAGCCUCAGCACAUCUGUUUCCAGAAUCCUCACAGACGUUUGCUGCAAUGCCACUCAGUGCUGUUUGUUACUGUGAGAAGGGCUGAACAAAAGCCCCGCUGUGUUGGUUCUGUUUGGGUCCCUCUGCAGGACAUGGUCCAGUGUUGGCACCAGCCUACAGAUGGAUGGGGACAACACAGCAUGGCUCACAUGCGCAGCUCCCUGCACAUACCCUCAGGCAGUCGCUGCCACCAGGUUACGUGCACCAGGUUCCUCAUGGGACACCUUCAGCGCAGCACGCGAGGUGUGAGCUCAGACACCGCUGGUGUUAACCCCGCACACCAACCAUGCUGACCGUCUGCUUACAGAGCUGACAGGGGAGCAAACUUCUGCAGGGGCUCCAGGUGACACUUCACAUUCUGAACAUUUUUCCUUUUGCAAAGAGAAAUCACCUUCUGAAAUUACAAGCAAAUAAAGCGGACUUCCCAGAAAGGGGCAAUUUCUGUGAUCUUUAAUUGCUUUAUUCCUCAUAAGGGAAGAGAAUGAUCAGUGGUUGAGGGAAAAAAAGCCAUGCCAGAAAUGGAUUUCUGCAUUUCUCCCUUUUACUCAUCGAUGGGAGAAGAGCAAUGGGGCAGACAUGGCACUAAUUCUUGUUGUAAACUACUCUGGGAACGUAUUUUGCUCAGAGCCAUUAGCAGAGAAACACAUUAACAGGAAGAGCCAACAGUACGGCACAGUCCAAAUGUACAUAAAGGUCUCAGUCCUUUAUAGCAGCACAUAUUCUCCACAUUUCUCACCUCUCCUUAUGAGAGGCUGAAUGAGUUCAUGCCUCUCCAGGCCUUUGGAACCUCUCAGGAGGGUCCCCAGGGAUGGCUCCUGGGCUGAGCCCUCCAUGCAGCACCCACUCUGCAGACACCAACUGUGCCCAUCUCCGGCCAUGCAGGUAAAUUUUGCUCUUAAUUAAACAAACGCCACAACGACAUCUGGGAAUUGGCAGCUGCAGUCUGACCAAAUAAGCAUUAUACCUCUGUUAAUUAAAAGAAAAACCCUUACAAUUUCCCUAAUGAAAUUUCCACUCGGAUAAGAUGGAACAGUAUAAAUUUGUAAAGCAAGAAAUAACCCAGGAAGAUCAGCAAAUCUGCCAAUGUAUCUUUCUUGUGGAAAAAAUACUUAAGCUAACAAGGAAAGAUGAAGCUGUAGACGUUGCAAAAGAAAAUCAACAUUGACUGAUUUUCAGCUUGGCUCUGCAGCUGCUCCUACAUAGCAACUGGGAAAAUGCAUCCAGGCUUCCCUUACUCAUUUGUCCCUAUGCUGUCCCUCCCAAAGUGACCCUCACAGCGCCUUCCACACCAG
rnacentral:lncRNA from 1 species